UACGUAGGGUGCAAGCGUUGUCCGGAAUUAUUGGGCGUAAAGAGCUCGUAGGCGGUCUGUCGCGUCGGCUGUGAAAACUCGGGGCUCAACCCCGAGCCUGCAGUCGAUACGGGCAGACUAGAGUGCUGUAGGGGAGACUGGAAUUCCUGGUGUAGCGGUGAAAUGCGCAGAUAUCAGGAGGAACACCGGUGGCGAAGGCGGGUCUCUGGGCAGUAACUGGCGCUGAGGAGCGAAAGCGUGGGGAGCAAACAGG
rnacentral:rRNA from 1 species